rnacentral:lncRNA from 1 species
GCGGCUGACGAACGAGGUGCAAUGAGACCGGCCAAUGGUGUGGCCGCCAGAGAGAGUGACCAUCUCCUCCAAGGUGAGAUUCUUUAUAGCGAAAUUGUCGACGAGUUGAGUGACAUUGAAAGAUGGAGGGGGGAGGUUUGAGAAGGUUUCAUUUGCGAUCGAUACAUUGCCAUCACGCCUGCCUGCAGGGAGAGUGUAGUUGAGGCCGCCUGUGAGCGAGGUGCUGUCCCUUGCAGCAAAGGCUAGGACGUCGGCGCAUGAUACUGUGUUGGGGCACACGGUCUCGAUGGCAGCCUUGGCCUCGUCGAUCACUUCAAAACCACGAAGACUCGGGUUGUUCACAGGUGAAUCCUUCUCGGCUUGGUUAUCCGCGGUCGAGUCUAGCAGCACGGACCCGUCGCACCCCUAUAAAAAAUUCAUCUAAAUCAUUAAUAAUAACUUCUAGAAAUUGAAUCUCCUCAAACUUCAAGGAAGUUUCCUUUUGAGUUUGAGAGGAGAAAUAACACAUGCCAGCCGUCCAAUUUUACAUCAGAUGGCUUAGGAGGUUUGGGACCUUUUAAUGUGGAAAAUUCUAGUUUCAUUGUACACAAUACGGUUUCAUCUUGUUUUGGGGGAGCAUUCAGGAACAUCUUAUCGAUGAGUUCUUACUGUCCAAUUAAUGGUUUGGCCAGGGAUGGAGGGCAAGGGCAAGGGCACCUUAACCAUAAGCCAGUUGGACUUGGUACUUUACCGAGACCGAAUGGCUCAGGGGAGUCCGACCCAACAAAUUACAGGUCGAAAGCAAGAAGCAAUACAAAUGCCGUUGCUCUAACAGACAUCUAGCACAAAAACUGUUGCUUGUUCGAGUCGAAAAUCUCUUAGCAAUUGAUCGAAAUAAAUUUGCUACUAACACUUACUCUCACAAAGCAGUCGUGGAAAUACAUCCUUAUCAAUCCAGCAGCAAUGCCAGGAUUUGCAGUUACAGCCGUAGACACAGCAUCGAA